UACGGGGGGGGCAAGCGUUGUUCGGAAUUACUGGGCGUAAAGGGCUCGUAGGCGGCCAACUAAGUCGGACGUGAAAUCCCCAGGCUCAACCUGGGAACUGCGUCCGAUACUGGAUGGCUUGAAUCCGGGAGAGGGAUGCAGAAUUCCAGGUGUAGCGGUGAAAUGCGUAGAUAUCUGGAGGAAUACCGGUGGCGAAGGCGGCAUCCUGGACCGGCAUUGACGCUGAGGAGCGAAAGCCAGGGGAGCAAAGCGG
rnacentral:rRNA from 1 species